AGGGCACCAUUAAAUGAAUAUUAUACACAUAAGUAUUAUUAUACAAAGAAAGAGUAAUGUUAUACACAUAAAUAUUAACAUUUUGUAGAGCAACAACAGAAUAAAAAACGAAAAUAUGAACACCAGCAACUAAAACAGGAACCAUUAAAUGAAUAUUAUAUACGUAAGUACAAUUUGAUUGAAUAAAAAACAGCGUCAGCGAUGCCUAUGAAAUGAAGAUUGCUGUCAUUUUAUAUGUAAAAUGAUAUGGAGAAUGUCAUCGAGAUGUCAUUCCAAGCCAACUGGACGCCGUGUUUUUUCGAUCAUACAGUAUUAUUAUACACAUAAAUAGUAAUAUUAUACACAUAAACAUCCCUUGAUAGAGAUCAACAUUUUGUAGAGCAAUAACAGCAUCAAAUAAUGGAAAUAAUGGACCUUAUUGCACAAAUCAAAAACAAAAUUUCAGCAUUACUACUUUAUUGGUUAUAUCAAUAAAAGAAAUUGAGUUUAUCAGUCUAGAUCCUACAAGCAAGCAGAUCUAUCACAUAAUUUUAAAUGAAGAUUUAUCUAUCAUGGUAAUUUAUUCUAAUAACGAAAAAAAAAACUUUGGAUCAAAAAAUAUUUUCUUCUGAUGAGGUUUAUGAAUAUUAAAGUCUGUUGAAGUUUGGCCAUUAUGUGUUGGUAUACAAUUUAUUUAUGAUGUUACAGUAGUUAAACCAUCCGAGUACGAAACAUGUUUAAUAUCCACUAUUCUUAAUGAAUGGAAACUACCAACUUGAGAGGAAGCUAAGAGAAAGGUUCUAUUGGGUGGACUACAAGGAAAAGGGAUAUACAUGAGGAUCUGGAAGGGCUAUAACAUUACGUCUCAAGCCAUGGGACAAUAGGAAAC